AUUCCAGCUCCAAUAGCGAAUACUAAUUCUGCUGCAGUUAAAAAGCUCGUAGUUGAACCUCUGGUAGGGCAGAUCCGGCCGUUGGGAUGAUUCCCUUUGUUGCUGUGUGUCUUGUCUGGCCAUCUUUCCUUUUUUAAUAAAAAAGGAUCUUUCACUGUAAAAAAAUUAGGGUGUUUCAAGCAAAAGUUAUUUGGAAUAUAUUAGUAUGGGAUGAUAAGAUAAGCUUUAGUUGCUAUUUUGUUGGUUUGCACAAUUAAAGAAUGAUUAACAGGGACAGUUGGGGGUAUUCAUAUUUAAUUGUCAGAGGUGGAAUUCUCGGAUUUGUUAAAGACUAACUUAUGCGAAAGCAUUUGCCAAGGAUGUUUUCAUCG
rnacentral:rRNA from 1 species